CGCGUAGGCGGUUUGCUAAGUCAGAUGUGAAAGUCCACGGCUCAACUGUGGAAGUGCAUUUGAAACUGUCAGACUUGAGUAUCGGAGGGGAGUGUGGAAUUCCCGGUGUAGAGGUGAAAUUCGUAGAGAUCGGGAGGAACACCGGUGGCGAAGGCGACACUCUGGACGAAUACUGACGCUGGGGCGCGAAAGCGUGGGGAGCAAACA
rnacentral:rRNA from 1 species